CGCUCACGUAAUCCUAUUCAUAGCUGAUCCAUCCUCGACGCGGUGGCCGCUGUCAGGUGUCAAGCGCGGCCAUGUCUUUCGGUCAAUCAUUUGAGUUAUCUAUCUGAUAAUUAUAGUCAAAAGAGAUGCCAUCUUCAAAAUGAGGCAAGGAAUCAUUCAGAUAUAGGAAGAACAAUAGCCAAUUACCAUGGUUUGCAUUGUAAUCCCAACAAUGUAACAAGCCAUUGUCUGCACCUGCCAAAAUAGUCCACAAAACUUCCCCCGAGCCAAGAUUCCUGCCAUUUCUAACAACCCUACUGGCAGCAGAGUGAGUAAGUCUCUGCACGUAAGCUUUCCCUCAGGUCAGGUUUUUGUCCUCUUUCACAGUUUUAGAGCCACUGAACUGAGGCUUGAUAUUUCGAUCAGAUUCAGACCCAUUGCAGUGCAUGGGACAGAGAAAAAGAGUGAAUUGCCCUGCCACCAUUCUCUAACAUCUACAAUCCUUAGCAGAUAAAUUGUUAAGCUUGAGUUUAAAGCUUAGGUAAAAGGGUAAUAAGUUCAAUAAGUUUAAAGGCUAAGAUAGAAUGCUUGAACAAUCUAAUGGUGAAAAACACUUAAGUAUCAAUACAAGCAUGUGUUGCAGAACAACUCGAUAAUGGGUUACAGAGGGAUUGUUUGUGUCGAAUCCAAAAAGAUUGGUGGCAUGCAUCUGCAUUUCCAGAAGACAGAAGCAAUAAAAAAAAAAGAAAUAAAAAUAGGAUCACUUGACUGAUAAUAAUAGGAAUGCAUAGUAAUAAUGAAGGGUUGGAUGGUGCUGCGAGUUUAUUCAGGCAUGUAACAUGUAUAAGUGAGGCAGAAGUAGCCUGCAAGCUCCCAGUCAAAACACCCAGGGUGAGCACCAGACUUAAAGACCUAUUAUCGGUGAAGUGUGAAGCUGCUAAAGGGUCUGGCAACGAAUGGUUGGCAGUGAAGGAUGAGUGUGAUAAUAUGGAAAGAGACGUUUUCCAGAAAAUGGAAUUGAGCAAAAUAUUGGGUUAAUCAAUGAAAAGCUAAGUUCAGUUGAAGCACAAUAAAGGAAGAGAGUACAGGUGAUGCAAUAUAAGUUAGAACAUGGACUAGAACUUUAGGGAUUUAAGAGCCAAUUCCGGUUCGCAUUUUUAAUGAACUGUGAACAGAUAAUUUUAGAUCGGUUCGAAUCAGAAUUGAUCAAUGGGAGAGUCAAAGUGUAGUGUUGGAUUUAUGUGAUAAUAAAUUUAUUGAUAAAAAUAGGCUUUUUAUUGAUUCACUUUAAAUUUUAUAUAUAUUUCUUUUUAAUUGUAUGGAUUAUUUUUAGAACAGAGCUUUUAAUUGCUACCGGACAAGUACAGUUCUCCAACUAACCAAUAGUCCACAGAACAAAACCACAUUAAUUAGUCCAACUACAACACAACAAAGAAGGGAUGUGAGCAUGAAACAAUUUUAAGCAAGCCUAGCCAGUGCCACCAAGGACACCCUUGAGCUUCUUCACUUGAGCAUCAUCUAGAAAAGUUGUUUUCUCCACCAAAUUAGAGGGCAAGUUAUUGCCGAACAAUGCAAAAUCAGUAAUUUGCAGACCAGGUUCAGGGCUAUUGAAGCUAACAAUAGCAAGUGCUGUUGUACCGCCAGCAUUUAUCUGAAAAUGAAGCAACCCUUGUGGAAAAAUCAUAACAUCACCUUUCUUGAGAGUUUUUACAUAAACCUUAUUUGCAGAUGACGAAAUGAAUCCAGCAGUGAUUUUUCCAUAGACCACAAAGAGAAUUUCAGAGGCAGCAGGGUGGGUGUGAAUUGGGAUGACACCCCCUGGUGCAAGGUCUAGCCGUGCGGUGGACAGGCCAAGACCAUUUACGCCUGGAAAUUGCUGCACGAAACCUGGGGUCACAGCAGCACUGAUGAUAUUUGUAGUGUUACCAGCAGCGCCUAGGCCACUGAAUACAAAAUCAUCAACUGUGACAAUUGCAGGGUUCCUGCAGGCAUAUCCGGAGGGACUACCCGCACCUUUUAGUUUUGCAACACAGAAAUCUGCAGCUUGAGAGGAUGGAAAGAAUAGGAGAGCAGCAAGAAAGAGGAUGUGAAGCAUUUUCCUUGGUGUUGUUAAACUAUUUUUGGUGUAAUCUUUUAAAGGUGCUAUUAGAUUUAUAUAGAAAGUGCUACAUGAGGUAUGGUGACGUCAAGAGCAUGCAGAGAAGGACCACAAAUUUUGGGCUGUUAAGCAUACUGGCAAUUGGUGAGCCCCCCCCUUUUGAUUUUGCUAAAAAACAAAAAUGCUCUUUCGCAUUAAUGAUGCAGCCAAUCACUGCUCUUUCGCAUUAAUCACUGGAAAAACUGUUGUUUUAGUAUUCAAUCACACUCAAACAU
rnacentral:misc_RNA from 1 species